AAGUCGUAACAAGGUUUCCGUAGGUGAACCUGCGGAAGGAUCAUUAACACGUAUCCAAACGUUAACCCCCCUGUGAACCUUCAAUGUGCUCGUACACUUUGUCAAAGCGAGGCAAUCCCUGGUAAAUCAUCGCCGAACAGUUUUGAUUCUGGGACUUCCUCAGCUGUGUAAGGAUGACGCAGUAACGAUCGUUGGAGGCCGACACGGCCGACGACCGGGUCACCGGGCGCAAGCCCCUUUAUCACCACUUAAUGCAUGACAGACGCGCCAGCGCUUAAUUGUGCGGCGACCAAAAACCGAACAACUGUUAACAAUGGAUAUCUUGGUUCUC
rnacentral:misc_RNA from 1 species